rnacentral:rRNA from 1 species
UACGUAGGUGGCAAGCGUUGUCCGGAUUUACUGGGUGUAAAGGGCGUGCAGCCGGAGAGACAAGUCAGAUGUGAAAUCCACGGGCUCAACCCGUGAACUGCAUUUGAAACUGUUUCCCUUGAGUGUCGGAGAGGUAAUCGGAAUUCCUUGUGUAGCGGUGAAAUGCGUAGAUAUAAGGAAGAACACCAGUGGCGAAGGCGGAUUACUGGACGAUAACUGACGGUGAGGCGCGAAAGCGUGGGGAGCAAACAGG